GAUGAACGCUGGCGGCGUGCCUAAUACAUGCAAGUCGAGCGAACAGAUAAGGAGCUUGCCCCUUUGACGUUAGCGGCGGACGGGUGAGUAACACGUGGAUAACCUACCUAUAAGACUGGGAUAACUUCGGGAAACCGGAGCUAAUAUCGGAUAACAUAUUGAACCGCAUGGUUCAAUAGUGAAAGGCGGCUUUGCUGUCCCUUAUAGAUGGAACCGCGCCGUAUUAGCUAGUUGGUAAGGUAACGGCUUACCAAGGCAACGAUACGUAGCCGACCUGAGAGGGUGAUCAGCCACACUGGAACUGAGACACGGUCCAGACUCCUACGGGAGGCAGCAGUGGGGAAUCUUCCGCAAUGGGCGAAAGCCUGACGGAGCAACGCCGCGUGAGUGAUGAAGGUCUUCGGAUCGUAAAACUCUGUUAUCAGGGAAGAACAAAUGUGUAAGUAACUGUGCACAUCUUGACGGUACCUGAUCAGAAAGCCACGGCUAACUACGUG
rnacentral:rRNA from 1 species